CAAGUCGAACGCGAAAGUCCCGCAAGGGAUGAGUAGAGUGGCAAACGGGUGAGUAACACGUGGGUGACCUGCCUUCGAGCGGGGGAUAACGUCCCGAAAGGGACGCUAAUACCGCAUGACAUCCUGCCUUUGAAGAGGUGGAGAUCAAAGCUGGGGAUCGCAAGACCUAGCACUCGAAGAGGGGCCCGCGCCUGAUUAGCUAGUUGGUGGGGUAACGGCUCACCAAGGCAACGAUCAGUAGCCGGCCUGAGAGGGCGGACGGCCACACUGGGACUGAGACACGGCCCAGACUCCUACGGGAGGCAGCAGUGGGGAAUUGUUCGCAAUGGGCGCAAGCCUGACGACGCAACGCCGCGUGGAGGACGAAGACCUUCGGGUCGUAAACUCCUUUCGAUCGAGACGAAUGGCCUUCGGGUAAACAAUCCGGAGGAAUGACGGUACCGAGAGAAGAAGCCCCGGCUAACUCCGUGCCAGCAGCCGCGGUAAUACGGGGGGGGCAAGCGUUGUUCGGAAUUACUGGGCGUAAAGGGCUCGUAGGUGGCCAACUAAGUCAGACGUGAAAUCCCUCGGCUUAACCGGGGAACUGCGUCUGAUACUGGAUGGCUUGAGAUUGGGAGAGGGAUGCGGAAUUCCAGGUGUAGCGGUGAAAUGCGUAGAUAUCUGGAGGAACACCGGUGGCGAAGGCGGCAUCCUGGACCAACACUGACACUGAGGAGCGAAAGCCAGGGGAGCAAACGGGAUUAGAUACCCCGGUAGUCCUGGCCCUAAACGAUGAAUGCUUGGUGUGGCGGGUAUCGAUCCCUGCCGUGCCGAAGCUAACG
rnacentral:rRNA from 1 species